rnacentral:tRNA from 1 species
GCGGAUGUGGCGGAACGGCAGACGCGCUAGGUUCAGGUCCUAGUGUUCGCAAGAACGUGGGGGUUCAAAUCCCUUUAUCCGCACCA